CAGAGUUUGAUCCUGGCUCAGAUUGAACGCUGGCGGCAUGCUUUACACAUGCAAGUCGAACGGCAGCAUGGGCUUCGGCCUGAUGGCGAGUGGCGAACGGGUGAGUAAUGCGUCGGAACGUGCCGAGUAAUGGGGGAUAACGCUUCGAAAGGAGUGCUAAUACCGCAUACGCUCUGAGGAGGAAAGCGGGGGACCUUAGGGCCUCGCGUUAUUCGAGCGGCCGACGUCGGAUUAGCUAGUUGGCGGGGUAAGAGCCCACCAAGGCGACGAUCCGUAGCGGGUCUGAGAGGAUGAUCCGCCACACUGGGACUGAGACACGGCCCAGACUCCUACGGGAGGCAGCAGUGGGGAAUUUUGGACAAUGGGCGCAAGCCUGAUCCAGCCAUGCCGCAUGUCUGAAGAAGGCCUUCGGGUUGUAAAGGACUUUUGUCGGGGAGGAAAUCCCGGUGGCUAAUAUCCGCUGGGGAUGACAGUACCUGAAGAAUAAGCACCGGCUAACUACGUGCCAGCAGCCGCGGUAAUACGUAGGGUGCAAGCGUUAAUCGGAAUUACUGGGCGUAAAGCGUGCGCAGGCGGUUGGAUAAGUCUGAUGUGAAAUCCCCGGGCUCAACCUGGGAACGGCAUUGGAGACUGUCCGGCUAGAGUACGUCAGAGGGGGG
rnacentral:rRNA from 1 species